rnacentral:lncRNA from 1 species
GUGCCUUAGAACACUUACGAGAACUUGACUUGACCAACUGUUGCAAUAUAAAGAAACUUCCGAGUUCUUUCUAUAAGCUUCGAAGGUUACAAUCAUUAAGAAUGAGGGGUGUUCCUUUGAUGCAAUUGCCUGUGAGCAUGGAAACCUUGAUUGAGCUUAGAUAUCUAGAAAUAACUAUUAAAGCUAAGAAAUUGAAAGGAAGUCGAUUAAGAAGUUGGACUUCACUUCAAUGCUUGGCGUUGGUUGAUUGCGACAAUUUAGAAUGUCUAUCUGAGGAAAUGAAGUGCCUCACCGAACUUACACAUCUAAUACUUCACGGCUGUACGGAGUUGAGUAACAGAUACCAUAUAAACGGGCGUUUAGAUUGGCAGGAAUGGCUCAAAAAGAAAAGGAUUCCAUUUGAUGAUCUAUUUAAUUAAAAUUUGAGGUACGCAGCAAUAUUUUAAUUUCUCUAUCAAAUUUUUAUUUCAUAAUAUAUAUAUAUAUAUUCUUUUUGAGUAAAGGCCUUUUUCUUUACUUUCUUUAAAAGUCCGAGUUUUAAUUGAAAAUGUUAUCACAGGUGUAUGACAUGUACAUGAUUUGAAGGUUGCUUCUACUCGAAAUAAAAAGAGGUGAGCUUUUAUUUACUGCCAUAAAUAUCUCCAUUAACUAUUAUAAUUCGGCUUUUUAUAAGUUAUAAGCCUAUCCAAUGAUAUUAAUGUACCACAAAGUUGUUUUUUCUUGUCAUCUAUGCAUAACAUCCAAGUUGCCUACUAUUUUUUUUCUUUAAUAUUGAUUUUCCCUUUCUGAGAAGCUAAUAUAUCAUAUACUAACUUCUUGCAAUUCCUCACAAACGAGAGAAUAUUAAGGUGGCAUUAUAAUGGACAUGUUGAUUGGGACAGGGGAAAAAAUACUAAAAUUUCAUCAAAUGCAGUCUGCAAUCCAAAUUGAAAUUUCAUAAAAAAAUUGCAAUAUGGUUUUUGUUUCCCCUUUUUAUAAUUAAUUAACGAAUUGAGUAAAAAAAUUUGAGUUAGUCGAGUUGACACUAUUUAUCAUUCUAACUUAAUUUAAAAUUUUUUUAAAUUGAGUUGAGUGAAAUGAAAUUUUAGUUGAAUCAAAUUAAGUUAUAUUGUUCGAAUUAAAUAAAAAAUUAAACAUAUCAAAAUAAAAUCUUGUUACAAUAUAAAUAGUUUAUGUUAGAGCAUAUAAAUUUGAAACUAUAUAUAUCUGAAACUCUUUCAAAGCAAAAUAAGAUAAAAAAAAAUGACACUUUAGUUGGAUAAACUUGAAUUUUUUAAUUUACUUGUUUAGCUCCUCAAGGAUAUCUUAUGAGGGUAACAUAUUUAUGACAAGGUCAUUGGAUGAGCACUGAGUAAUUGCUUUUGUAAUGGUAUGUCGUUGAGUAGAGCUCAAACAUGACACUAUAGUGGAAUGACUUCGUGACUAAAUGAGUUUAUAAUUAAUAGGUGAAAAGCCGAAACUUAAUUAUAAAUCAUUUGAGCCUCAAGUACAUAUGUUCAAUCGGUCCUUCCGCUAGCUCAUUGAAACAAAAAAAUGAAUUGCGUGUUUGAAUAGAAAUGAACGGAAUGAAUAGAAAAAGAGAAAUGAGAAACAUUCAAGAAUGAUUAUGGUUUUCUCCGAAAUGCAGAAAUUGAAAUCAUUUGGAAAUGAAAAUGAACAUGAAAACUUGCAAUCCUAUAUAUGAUUACUUAAAAAAUGAUGGAAGAAUGAGUUUAUAUUUUUGGAUUGUUUUGAAGCCCGAAAAUGAAAAUAAAUAAUUCAGUCAUAGUGAACAUGUUGAAUUGUGACAUAUUGAACGAAUUUUUCUUGAAAUUUUAUCGGGGGUAAAAUUGUCAAAAAUUUUACUAGGGCAAAUUUGGAAUGAAAAAAUUAUUUAAUAUGUAAAUAUUAAAUUUUAUUUUGGGAAAUAGAAAAACUGAAUCAGGUUGGAUCAUAUUACAAAGUAUUGGGUCAAAAAUGCCUAGGAAGUACUCGUAAUUGGACCCGAUGUAAGAGAGACCCAAAACCCCUUAUGUAAGGAGGUGGGACGACAAAACCCUAGUAUCAUUAAUUAGGUUGCUAUGCCCGAUAUCCUAGUUAAAACUAGGAUAUCGUUUUUCUAGUGGAAAUAAACUUUUACAACUCUAUAAGGGUUCUACCUUCUUUUCGUAUAAAUAGAUGGCACCGGUAGAGUUAUGAUCACAACUUUUGAGAGAUUGUUAUUAUAAACAUAUUUUUCAGAAUAAAAAUUUUACCGGUUUCUAUAAAAGAAAAGUGAAUUUUUUUCACCCCAAAAGGAAAUUUUUUCUUGUUUUGUGUUUUGAUUCAAUUGAUUCGAGCCAACACUCGAAGCAUUUCGUGGUACGAGAAUAGCGGAGAAAAUCGUUUAGUUGAAAGUCGGAAAACAUAAAGGAUCUAAUUAUCCAAAAACACAUGUACGGAUUCAAUUAAGGUUUAUUUAUAUAAAUAUCACAAACCAAGUUAGUUUUCAAAAUUUUAAUUUUUUUCUGUACAAGAAAACCAUUUUCAAACCAGAUUUUUUCCAACACAUCAUUGUCUUCCAAUAUGAGUAGUUAGCACCAUUGAAAUAAGGAGGCUUGGAAAUAGAUUGAGACUCACCAAGAAAAUUUAAGCCAGAAGUAGAUGGCAUAGUUUGGAUUUAGUUGAUGAUUGUUGAGCUUCGUCAAUGAUCUCCUCUUUGGUUGUUAAAUCGUCUAAAAGAGACUAAUUGAUACCAAUUUUUAGCUUGAUAGUUCAACUCGGAAUCACCAAGAGGGGGUAAAUUGGCCUCUUAAAAAAUUUGGUUGUGUGACACCCCUAACCUAUCUCCGUCGUCGGAUUAAGGUUACAGAGCAAUCAAAAACAUUUUAACAUUAUAUCAUUCAAUAUUAUAAUCACAUCAUAAGCCUUUUGUUCACAUGCAUAUUGUUUCUAAAUCGAGUCCUUGAGGCCCUAAAAAUAGCUCAGAAACAAUUCGGGACCAAUUUGAAUCAAUUUAGAAAAAUUUUGGAAAAGUAGAAAAAUUUGAAAAUAGAGGACACAAGGCCGUGUGGCCAGGCCAUGUGCCCCACACGACUGAGAGACACACCCGUGUCUCAGGCCUUGUAACCUUCGAACUAGGGACACACGAUCGUGUCCCAACUUGUGUCCUCACCUAUGUAACUUUCUGAGUAGGGUCACACAGUCGUGUCACAUGCUCGUGUGCCAGGCCAUGUAACUCUCGAAGUUUCCCCACACGCCCAUGCGCUAGGCUGUGUGUUAGGCCGUGUAACUCAUUACUUGUAUACAAAGGACCACCAGGUGACAUAUGACCAUCUCAUAAGGCCGUGUGCCUCACACGGUCGAGUCACACGCCCGUGUCUCAGGCCAUGUGAGCUUAAUUUACCUAUUUCUUGCUCAAUUUUACAUCCUUAUGGCAUAGGUACCUACACACUUUCAAUUACACAUAUGGGAAUUUCAAUUCAACUUCAAACACACUUUAACACAAUCACAUAUUCACUCUAUGCAUCAAGUAUUUAUCAACCUUGACACCUCAAUAUAUUCCAUCACAAGUCAUUCCCAACUUGUAGCUACAAACACAUCUAACACUAUAAACAUAUAUCCAUUUCAUUAUAGGCUCAAGUUGACUCAUACCAUACCAUUUACAGUGAAAUUUCAAACACAUUUAGGUAAUAAGUAAGAGUUCACAAGUUGUUCAAAUGCAUAACAUAUGACAACAUACUUCUCAAACGCUAGGUAUUUCACAAGCCAAUACAUAAGGUCCUAGUACAUGCCAUAUACCAAAACUGAGAAGUUAAGCCUACCAAGGUUCCCGGAUAGUGUGAUUCCUAGUGUCGACCUGAUAUUCUUAGCCUUCAAAAUAUGAUCUAUAAAAUGAGAAAUUUAAAGGUAAGCUUGAAUAUAACUUAGUAAGUUUGUUUAGAAAUUCCUAACCUUUUCACUCCAACAUAGUUUCAAUCACUUAAGUUUAGAGAUUUCCAUUAUACGUAGUUUAUAACAGUAAUCACAACCAAUUCAAUAAUUUAGUAUACUCAGUGAGCAUUGCUCGAUUGAACUUUUCAUUUGUAUAACGUAGUUUUCUACUCAUUUGAGCUUUACUCAGUAAUACGGUAGAAUUUCAUCGAUUUAAACAUCAGUCAGUAAAACAAUAAGAUUUACUCAGUUAAGUUCCAUUCAGUAUAAUUUUAUGAUUUGCUCGAUUGAGCUUCAUUCAGUAUAAUAGUAAGAUUUGACUCGAUAGAGCGUACUUCCAGUAUAUGAAACGAUGUUCAUUAACAACAUGUUAACAAGAUUGUAAGCAUGUAAGAGUAUAACUAAGCAUACGAACUUACCAAACUGUUUUGCAAAAGAUUCUAAAGUAUAGAGACUACUCUGUGAUUUUUCUUUUUCCAUGAUUAUCGGCUCGUUCUUGAUCUAAAAAUAAUAAUUUCAUUCCAAUGAUUAGAAUAACAACAUAAUUUAGUCCAUUUCAUGCAAUUGAGUCCCUUUUGUUACAUUUACAUAUUUACCCCUCAAUCUUUCAUUUUAUUUAAUUUAAUCCCUAUGCCCUUAUCAUGCAAAUUAUCCAUUUUUUCCUUAACACCCAUGUUAGUCGAUUGUUCCCUAUCUUCCUAUCAACUCCUAUUUUCAAUAAUUUCACCUCAAUUACAAACAAUUUGACAUUUAAUCAAUUUAGUCCCUAAACAUCAAAAUAAUCAAAUAUCACUUUUCAAAAUAAUCUAAUCUAUCAACAAAGUUCCAUAUUUCAUCAAAAGCUUUAAGAAACAACCUCAUUCAUCAAUGGAAACUUUUAUAACAUUUAACAGUUUCACAAAUUGGUCCUCGAUUUAGAUGGACUAAACUGAUACAAAUUCAAAAACAUAAAAAAUACUAAAAACGAGCAUCAAUACACUUACCAAAUCAAGGUUUAAAAUUUAAAGUUGAAAACCCUAGCUUUUCCUUUCUUGCCCGUAGAGAAGAUGAAGUGAAAAUGACAUUUUUCUUUAAAUUUUAGGUUUAAUUCAAUAUAUAUUGUGACAUUUUUGUAAAUACUUCAACUUUCUUAAUUAAGCUUUAAUAAAUCAGAAUUAAUCCUAAUUAGUUCACUUAUUUAAACAUAAUUCCAUAAAAUCCCACUAACUAAUUUUUCAUGGUUAAAUUUCCCUUUUAACCCUUUUAAUUUAGCUACUCAACCUUUAUAGUUUUUACAAUCCAGUCCUUUUUAGUUAUUAAGCUAUCCAAACAAUAAAAUUUCUUAACCAAAUUUUAAUAUGACUCUAUAGACCUCAUAAUUAUACUAAUUAAGCAAUAUUCGUGAAUUAUUUCAUCGAAAUUAUGGUUUUGAAACCACUGUUUUUGACAUCACUGAAAAUUGGGCUGUUACAGGUUGCUAAGAAAAAGAUAGAGACAAUGAACACUUCGAUAUAUAGUGGUUUCACCCCAAUUGCCUACUCUACUAUCUUAGCUUUCCACAACUAAUAAUUUUUUUUUCUAAAUUCGCUAAUUUGGUAGCCUUUGAGGAUAAUGUUUAACCUUACAAACUCCCUAAAGGUUUCUACCCAAACCUUAAGACACAAAUCCUCUCAAAGAGUAAAUACAAAUAACAAACUAAGAAGAAAUCCUUACGAGAUUGAAUUGUUUGCCAAUUAAGCACUAAUAAACAAGAAUAUACUUGAGCUAAAAGAAUAACAAUGAAAGCUCACAAGUGUGUACAAGAAAAGUAUGAAAAUUAAGUACAUACGGGCACUUUGUCUACAGGAUUCACCAUUGACAGCUUUACCAAAUUCCAUUGGUGCCUUAAAACACUUACGAGAACUUGACUUGACCAACUAUUGCAAUAUAAAGAAACUUCCGAGUUUUUUCUAUAAGCUUUGAAGGUUACAAUCAUUAAAAAUGAGGGGUGUUCCUUUGAUGCAAUUGCCUGUGAGCAUGGAAACCUUGAUUGAGCUUAGAUAUCUAGAAAUAACUAUUAAAGCUAAGAAAUUGAAAGGAA